rnacentral:rRNA from 1 species
AACGAACGCUGGCGGCGUGCCUAACACAUGCAAGUCGUACGAGAAAUCCUGGGCAACUGGGGAAAAGUAAAGUGGCGCACGGGUGAGUAACGCGUGGGUAACCUACCCUUGGAUUUGGGAUAACUCCGCGAAAGCGGGGGUUAAUACCGGAUGAUAUUCUGAUUUCUAAGGGGGAUCGGAAUCAAAGGUGGCCUCUGCAUGCAAGCUACUGUCUAAGGAUGGGCCCGCGUACCAUUAGCUAGUUGGUAGGGUAAUGGCCUACCAAGGCUCCGAUGGUUAGCUGGUCUUAGAGGAUGGCCAGCCACACUGGAACUGAGACACGGUCCAGACUCCGUACGGGAGCUG